rnacentral:lncRNA from 1 species
UUGUUACAAUCUCAGGAUUUGUUUUCUGUUAUGCUUGCAUAUUCAAAUAUUUAUCUCAGGUAAGGAAUCUAGUUCCAUUCUCUAUCAAUAUCCAUAUUUCUGCUUCAAGCUUGGUUUUCCUCUCAAUUCUCCUGCCCUACUUGGCCAAAAUAUACUUAUUCCAUGAUCCCAUUUUAUUGCAUUGCUGCAGUAUAACCGCUGCCCAGUCACAUUGAUGCCAGCAAACGUUGAUCAGAUAAGGAGGUUGUUCCAUGAUAUGUAGAGACGUGGAGAUACUGUAGGAGAUAAAUCCACAUAGUUUUAUACAAAAGGUUCAGUGAAGCAGGCAAAGCCAUUGCAAGCUAAGCAAAAUAAUGUACAAUUUGCAGUCGUUCUAAACCCCCCAUUCAUUUCAGCAGCAAUCCAUGUGACAUAGUCCUACCAGGACCGUACUUGACCCCUCUAUUUCUGCAGGCAAAUAAUAGAAGUCACCUAUUUACAAUUGUAAAUUAUCAAGGUCUUUUUCCCAUUCUCUCGUUUUUUUUUUUUCCCUUGUUUUUUCACUCUGGACAUGCAUCUCAGCAACUCAGUGCUAAAUAAACAACACAAUACAAAGCCGUGCUAAUGGACGUUAUGCUUGCAAGACUACUGUUUCUCUAGUUACUAGCACUAGAAAGU